rnacentral:rRNA from 1 species
AACGAACGCUGGCGGCGUGGAUAAGACAUGCAAGUCGAACGGAUUAUCUUUCGUAGCAAUACGGGAGGUAGUCAGUGGCGUAAGGGUGCGUAACACGUGGGCAACCUGCCCGGAAGUGGGGGAUAGCUCGCCGAAAGGCGAAUUAAUACCGCAUGUGGCUACAGUUGGAAUCAACGGGACGCCAAAGUCGGGGCAACCUGACGCUUCUGGAUGGGCCCGCGGCCUAUCAGCUAGUUGGUGAGGUAACGGCUCACCAAGGCGAUGACGGGUAGCUGGUCUGAGAGGACGACCAGCCACACUGGAACUGAGACACGGUCCAGACACCUACGGGUGGCAGCAGUCGAGAAUUUUUCUCAAUGGGGGAAACCCUGAAGGAGCGACGCCGCGUGGAGGAUGAAGGUCUUCGGAUUGUAAACUCCUGUCAUUGGUGAACAAGGCCCUCGGAGUAACUGCCGUUGGGUUUGAUAGUAGCCGAAGAGGAAGAGACGGCUAACUCUGUGCCAGCAGCCGCCGUAAAAC